GCGGGUGUAGCUCAAUGGUAGAGCCCCAGCCUUCCAAGCUGGUUAUGCGGGUUCGAUCCCCGCCACCCGCUCCA
rnacentral:tRNA from 1 species